CCCUGGUUCUGCUAGGCGCACCAGUCUUCCAAAUUGACUGGGACGCCCACAGGUACCUGUGCUCCCUGAUCAAUAAAAAAUCCUCUUGCAGAUUGCAGCCGGUGGACUCGGACUAGUCAUUGGGGCUUGAGGAUCUCCCUCCUGAGGGAAGAUUCUCUCUGAGAGUCUUACAUAUGGGGGCUCGUCCGGGAUCGGAGAUCCUCUGCCUAGAGACCACCGACCACCCACCGGGAGGCUAAAAGACCUACAGGUGAUACAGAAAGAAAUCUGCUCACAGCUGACAGCAACCUAUGCCCCGGAGACCCCUGAGACAUGUCAUCAGUUCCAGGUCGGAGACUACAGCUACACUGAGCCCAGACACUCGCGCCUCGCUGGAAAGGACCGUACCUGGUGCUGCUGACCACCCUGACAGCCAUCAAGUCUCAGCCCUCACCAGCAGCGUACUAGCUGUUGGGGCUGAGAGCUGGGACCUAGAGGGACACUCAGAUCUUCAAAAAGCUCCCUAGACUUAAGUGAUUGAGAGGUUGCUAUAAUGCUCACUUGAGGAGUAUGUUUUAGAAACAAGAAUUUCAUGUUUGCCUGUUUGCCCUGGGUUCCCUCGGAAUAGGUGUAAGGAUAGGCUUGAUUUUUAUUACAAAUGAUGUAACAUUACAUAUGUUAGUACUCCUAACACUUCUUGGGACUGUGCCUCAGGGAUCACAAUCUAUAUAAGUUUAGAAGUUCUAAAAGACCUUGGUAUAUAGGUUCAGAUAGUGUCCAGAUUAGAAUCCUGAUGCUAAAGACUUAUAAGACACAAAAGAGAGUUGAGAAUUAUUUAAGGCUAUCUAGGUGCUACAAGGGCAGCACAAGGACAUCUGCUGUUGCCCUAUAAUGCAAGGCUUAUAGAGAAUUCAGAACUGCCAUUGACUCAGAUAUGAAAAGAGUAAAAAAAAAGACUUUUUAGCUGACCUCCAAGAACACCUAACCUCCCUCUCAGAGGUAGUCCUUCAAAAUAGGAAAAGAUUAGACCUGAUAUUCCUUAAAGAAGGAGUCUGUGUGCUACACUAAAAGAAGAGUGUUGUUUCUAUGCAGAUCAGACAGGAAUAAUAAGAGAUAUAGUCUUUCAGUCAUUCAAACUUUUGUGCUGAGACAACAGUAUCAGAUGGUAAAACAACAAAAAACAGAGGUACCUUAACCAAGUUGAGUGGAAGAUUCCACUCAAGGACAAAAAGAAAAUGGGGGAAUGAAAGACCCCCUCCCAGAAAGGGAAUUGUACAAGCCCAAGGCCCUCAACUAUAGAAGUAAAAAAUAAGUUUUUAGAUAUGUGGGACAAGCUGACCCAUCAUUUAGACGAAACAGACCAGAAAAGAAAACAAAAUGCAGAAACUAGACUAAAAUAUGGGCAUUGCUCCAUGGGCCACCUGGCGGGGAAAAAGAAACAGUCCCUGACCCCCCGGGAAGCCCUGACCACCAUGUACUUUUUGCUAACUCAACUGUUAUGAUUAUAGCCAAAAUAGGUAACAUACACGUAUGCCUCAUUUACUCCACCAAUCACAUCCCUGUAACCAUGCAUCUGCUUCUGUAAGCCUGCUUCUGCUCCCCAAUGCCCUAUAAAAACCCGUCCCUGGUUCUGCUAGGCGCACCAGUCUUCCAAAUUGACUGGGACGCCCACAGGUACCUGUGCUCCCUGAUCAAUAAAAAAUCCUCUUGCAGAUUGCAGCCGGUGGACUCGGACUGGUCAUUGGGGCUUGAGGAUCUCCCUCCUGAGGGAAGAUUCUCUCUGAGAGUCUUACACUAGCACAGCCUGACUCACAGUGUGAUAGCCUGUCUUACUGUGAUAGCCUGUCUGGUUCCCACGCUGAUGUAUUUCACUAGUCUUAUUUAUUUUAUGUGAGUGCUCUAUCUGCAUGCACAUCUGCAGGCCAGAAGAGGGCAUCGGAUUCCAUUCCAGAUGGUCGUGAGCCACCAUGUG
ensembl:lncRNA